rnacentral:lncRNA from 10 species
AAAAUGUUAGCUGGGCAUGGUGGUGUGCACCUGUAAUCCCAGCUACUCCAGAGGCUGAGGCAGGAGAAUCACUCCUGGGAGGUGGAGGUUGCAGUGAGCUGAGAUCACGCCACUGCGCUCCAGCUUGGGUGACAGAGCAAGACUCUGUCUCAAUAAUAAUAAAUAAAUAAAUAAAUAAAUAAAUAAAUAAAUAAAACCAUCAGAUCUCACGAGACUUAUUCACUAUCACAAGAAGAGCAUGGGAAAGACCCGCCCCCGUGAUUCAAUUACCUCCCACCAGGACCCUCCCACAGCACAGGGGAAUUAUGGGAGCUACAAUUUGAGACUUCGGUGGAGACACAGCCAAACCACAUCAUCAUAUAUCCUAAAAUUUGCCAUGGAAAAGGCAGUGAACAUGCACUUCCACUGAGCUUUAGGUUUAGGUGACACCAUGGAUACCAAGAGGCACGAUUUUUCCGAGGCUCAUGCUUUAUCCAGAUGUUCAACGUCUUGUGGAUUUACAAUUUGGAGUGCCUCUAUCACAGCCCAGAGGCACUCGUGGUUUGCAUUACAGGACCGCACACUUUCAGGUUAUGGAAAAUGUAUGAAGAUUGUCUGACCUCUCUACGCUCAGAUGUAUCAUAUCCACUUGCUCACUCCAACGUGGAGCCACCCUCAGAUGACAGAAUCACCAAAAAACACCAGGAGAAGGUAUUAAAAUGCAGAUUUCUGGGUUGGCUUUCGACAGAGAGAGAGAAUAAAAAUGUUCUCUCUUGGGGUGGGGACAAUUGUCAUUUUAAUAAGCUGGGUCCCAGGCCAAGGAAUCUGAAUUUGCUGGAUUUUCAUUUUUAUUUAUUUAUUUUUUGA